rnacentral:rRNA from 1 species
UACAGAGGGUGCGAGCGUUGUUCGGAAUUACUGGGCGUAAAGCGUCCGCAGGUGGCUAUGUAAGUCUGCUGUUAAAGAGUCUAGCUCAACUAGAUAAGAGCAGUGGAAACUACAAGGCUAGAGUACGUUCGGGGCAGAGGGAAUUCCUGGUGUAGCGGUGAAAUGCGUAGAGAUCAGGAAGAACACCAGUGGCGAAGGCGCUCUGCUAGGCCGUAACUGACACUGAGGGACGAAAGCUAGGGGAGCGAAUGGG